AGAAAAAGUACACGUACGAAUAAGGAUGAAAAUGAUGCAAAGUCCAACCAAAACCUUGCAGUUUGAAGAUAAGUCCCUAAGUGUUUAUAUCUUUCGUUGUCUUAACAAUGAGUUACUCUGUGUAACUGAAAUGUAGUGAGUAAAUAUAUUAAGAUGUUUACAAUUGCUGUGUAGUUUGUGCAGUGUCCUCUUUAGAGGACAAAGCUUUUUUUUUAUUCAGUCAAGACAUGGGAGACAGGACACAACAUCAAGUCAAUACUUUGUGCAGUGGGAUCUUUAGAGUACGAAGCUUGUUUACUUCAGUCAAGACAUGGGAGACAGACACAACCCUGCUUAAUACGUAAGCAAGUGCAAGGAAGAUCUUCAUAAAUCUUAAUCAAAUAUUUGAAAGAGAACAGUUUAUGACUAAACCCGACCUUCCUCACAUGUUAUGGUCAUCUGGUUAAAGCUGGUUAGAUAAAUGGUAAAUAGGCCCAACUCUUAGUAAAUUUACAUUAAGAUAAUGUAGCCCAUUGAUAAUUAGUAUGAAAAAAACGUGAUGGGCUGGUCUUAUGUCGUGUAAUACAAAUGGACAAAUAAGAAAAGUUCUGUGAUUAAAACCAGUGGCAUUCAGUUGUAAAUAAUAAAGUAAAGUCAGGGUAAAUUCU